GCCCGUGUGGUGGAAUUAGGUAGACACACCACACUCAAAAUGUGGCGCCCCAGGGGGGGCGUGCGGGUUCGAGUCCCGCCACGGGUA
rnacentral:tRNA from 1 species